rnacentral:rRNA from 1 species
ACUCCUACGGGAGGCAGCAGUGGGGAAUUUUGCGCAAUGGGGGAAACCCUGACGCAGCAACGCCGCGUGGAGGAUGAAGCCCCUUGGGGCGUAAACUCCUUUCGACCAAGACGAUAAUGACGGUACUGGUGGAAGAAGCACCGGCUAACUCUGUGCCAGCAGCCGCGGUAAU